UACGAAGGGGGCUAGCGUUGCUCGGAAUGACUGGGCGUAAAGGGCGCGUAGGCGGUUUGUACAGUCAGAUGUGAAAUUCCUGGGCUUAACCUGGGGGCUGCAUUUGAUACGUGCAGACUUGAGUGAGGAAGAGGGUUGUGGAAUUCCCAGUGUAGAGAUGAAAUUCGUAGAUAUUCGCAAGAACACCAGUGGCGAAGGCGGCUCACUGGCUCGGUACUGACGCUGAGGUGCGAAAGCGUGGGGAGCAAACAGG
rnacentral:rRNA from 1 species